rnacentral:rRNA from 1 species
UACAGAGGGGCAAGCGUUAUUCGGAAUUAUUGGGCGUAAAGGGCGCGUAGGCGGCUUGGCAAGUGGAUGGUGAAAUCCCUCGGCUUAACCGAGGAACUGCCGUCAAACUGCUUUGCUUGAGACCGGGAGAGGUGAGUGGAAUUCCCAGUGUAGCGGUGAAAUGCGUAGAUAUUGGGAGGAACACCAGUGGCGAAGGCGGCUCACUGGACCGGUACUGGACGCUGAUGCGCGAAAGCGUGGGGA